rnacentral:rRNA from 1 species
AUUGGACGCUGGCGGCAGGCCUAACACCUGCAAGUCGAACGGUAACAGGAAACAGCUUGCUGUUUCGCUGACGAGUGGCGGCCGGGUGAGUAAUGUCUGGGAAACUGCCUGAUGGAGGGGGAUAACUACUGGAAACGGUAGCUAAUACCGCAUAACGUCGCAAGACCAAAGAGGGGGACCCUCGGGCCUCUUGCCAUCGGAUGUGCCCAGAUGGGAUUAGCUUGUUGGUGGGGUAACGGCUCACCAAGGCGACGAUCCCUAGCUGGUCUGAGAGGAUGACCAGCCACACUGGAACUGAGACACGGUCCAGACUCCUACGGGAGGCAGCAGUGGGGAAUAUUGCACAAUGGGCGCAAGCCUGAUGCAGCCAUGCCGCGUGUAUGAAGAAGGCCUUCGGGUUGUAAAGUACUUUCAGCGGGGAGGAAGGGAGUAAAGUUAAUACCUUUGCUCAUUGACGUUACCCGCAGAAGAAGCACCGGCUAACUCCGUG